CCUACGGGUGGCAGCAGUGGGGGAUAUUGCACAAUGGGGGGAACCCUGAUGCAGCGACGCCGCGUGGGUGAAGGAGUGCUUCGGCAUGUAAAGCACUAUCGGCAGGGAAGAAGCAAGACGGUACCUGACUAAGAAGCCCCGGCUAACUCCGUGCCAGCAGCCGCGGUAAUACGGAGGGAGCGAGCGUUAUCCGGAUUCACUGGGGGUAAAGGGGGCGUAGACGGCCAUGCAAUCCAGGGGUGAAAGCCCGGGGCGCAACCCCGGGACUGCCCUUGGAACUGCAUGGCUGGAGUGCGGGAGGGGCAGGCGGAAUUCCUGGGGUAGCGGUGAAAUGCGUAGAUAUCAGGAGGAACACCGGCGGCGAAGGCGGCCUGCUGGACCGCGACUGACGUUGAGGCUCGAAAGCGUGGGGAGCAAACAGGAUUAGAUACCCUGGUAGUC
rnacentral:rRNA from 1 species